rnacentral:rRNA from 1 species
AUUGAACGCUGGCGGCAGGCCUAACACAUGCAAGUCGAACGAGUGGCGGACGGGUGAGUAAUGUCUGGGAAACUGCCCGAUGGAGGGGGAUAACUACUGGAAACGGUAGCUAAUACCGCAUACCAUCGGAUGUGCCCCGAUGGGAUUAGCUAGUAGUGGGGGUAACGGCUCAACUAGGCGACGAUCCCUCGAUGGUCUUAGAGGAUGACCAGCCACACUGGAACUGAGACACGGUCCAGACUCCUACGGGAGGCAGCAGUGGGGAAUAGUGCACAAUGGGCGCAAGCCUGAUGCAGCCAUGCCGCGUGUAUGAAGAAGGCCUUAGGGUUGUAAAGUACUUUCAGCGGGGAGGCGUUACCCGCAGAAGAAGCACCGGCUAACUCCGUGCCAGCAGCCGCGGUAAUUC